GUGCUUCGCAUUGGCACAUCCAUCUCGAUUGGUACUGGGUCCUCGACCCUGUUCUGGUUUGAUCGGUGGAUUGGCGACACCCCCUGGGCGCGAUUUCCGGAGCUCUUCGCCAUUGCUGUUGACCCUCGUGUCUCUGUCGAGACGGCCCUUAUUGACUUAGGGCGCCUCGCUUUCCGCCGCCCCUUUGGCCCUCCUGAAGUUGCCGCUUGGGAUGUCCUCCUUCAGGACAUCACCCUCCUCCCUAUGGACGUCACCGACACCCCGGAUGCCAUCUCUUGGCGUCUGGAACCUUCCGUCUGCUUCUCCACCAAAUCCCUCUAUGCGACCAUCGCCCCCUCGACGGCCCCCGAGCCCUUUAGUUUGAUCUGGGACAUCCGCCUGCCCCUGAAGAUCAGGAUCUUCCUGUGGCAAUGGAUCCGAGGCCGCCUCCCGUCCGGCGUAGAGGUCCUUAAGCGUAAUGGACCUGGGGAUGGGAUGUGCCCCAUGUGCGGCACGGUGGAGGAUGCUAACCACAUCUUCUUCUCGUGCUCCACGGCCCAGUUCCUUUGGUCCUGUUUCCGCGAGACGGUUGGGGGCCAGUGGUGCAACACCAACUUCCCUGACCUACCGCCAUAUUAG
rnacentral:rRNA from 1 species